rnacentral:lncRNA from 1 species
UUGUAGCUGAUUCUUCUAGUAUAUAUACCACUAGAAAAGAGUCGUUGCAAAAAGAACCGUUGGAGUAGAAAACUUUUGUCUUCAAGCAGCCUGUCUUGAUGCAGAUUGGUUGUAUCCAAAACUAAGAAAGAGUUUCAGGUACUUUGACUACUGCAGAGAAGACUUUCCUUAUUCAGCUAACAAGUCUGAAGACCCACGUUCUCAAAAGAGUACAGACAAACUGAGGGUAUCUGAACUGAUCAGGCUUGAAAGGUCCUUUUCUUCAUAGGUAGAAGAGUUGACUUGAAGAGAGAAUCUUCACAGAUUUCAAGAAGCUCUUCAGAGUUUGAUGAAGUUUGUAGUCAGACAAGAAGUUCUGAAGUCUUCAUCCUCUGAAUGUUGUAACUUCUGAAGUCUAACAUCUUCUGAGCGC